GGAUAACCUACCCUUAGGACUGGGAUAACCUUGGGAAACUGAGGCUAAUACCGGAUAGGCAAUUUUUCCUGUAAUGGUUUUUUGUUUAAAUGUUUUUUCGCCUAAGGAUGGGUCUGCGGCCGAUUAGGUAGUUGGUUAGGUAAUGGCUUACCAAGCCGUUGAUCGGUACGGGUCGUGAGAGCAAGAGCCCGGAGAUGGAACCUGAGACAAGGUUCCAGGCCCUACGGGGUGCAGCAGGCGCGAAACCUCCGCAAUGUGAGAAAUCGCGACGGGGGGAUCCCAAGUGCCAUUCUUAACGGGAUGGCUUUUCAUUAGUGUAAAGAGCUUUUGGAAUAAGAGCUGGGCAAGACCGGUGCCAGCCGCCGCGGUAACACCGGCAGCUCUAGUGGUAGCAAUUUUUAUUGGGCCUAAAGCGUCCGUAGCCGGUUUAAUAAGUCUCUGGUGAAAUCCUGUAGCUUAACUGUGGGAAUUGCUGGAGAUACUAUUAGACUUGAGACCGGGAGAGGUUAGAGGUACUCCCAGGGUAGAGGUGAAAUUCUGUAAUCCUGGGAGGACCGCCUGUUGCGAAGGCGUCUAACUGGAACGGUUCUGACGGUGAGGGACGAAAGUUAGGGGCGCGAACCGGAUUAGAUACCCGGGUAGUCCUAACUGUAAACGAUGCGGACUUGGUGUUGGGGUGGCUUUGAGCUGCUCCAGUGCCGAAAGGGAAGCUGUUAAGUCCGCCGCCUGGGAAGUACGUCGCAAGACUGAAACUUAA
rnacentral:rRNA from 1 species